rnacentral:rRNA from 1 species
AGUGAACGCUGGCGGUAGGCCUAACACAUGCAAGUCGAACGGCAGCACAGUAAGAGCUUGCUCUUACGGGUGGCGAGUGGCGGACGGGUGAGGAAUACAUCGGAAUCUACUUUUUCGUGGGGGAUAACGUAGGGAAACUUACGCUAAUACCGCAUACGACGUACGGGUGAAAGCAGGGGAUCUUCGGAGCUUGCGCGAGUGAAUGAGCGGAUGUGGGAUUAGCUGGUGGGGGGGGUAAAGGCCCACCAAGGCGAGGAUCCGUGGCUGGUCUGAGAGGAUGGUCAGCCACAUUGGAACUGGACCACGGACCAGACUCCUACGGGAGGCAGCAGUGGGGAAUGUUGGACAAUGGGGGCAAGCCUGAUCCAGCCAUCCCGCGUGGGUGAAGGAGGCCUUCGGGUUGUAAAGCCCUUUUGUUGGGAAAGAAAAGCAUCAGGCUAAUACCCCGCUGUUCUGACGGUACCCAAAGAAUAAGCACCGGCUAACUACGUG